AAGUCAUUUCAAAAGAGAGUUUAUGGGACCAAAAGGCAGAGCUCUUAAUGCUGUGACCUAAGAUUGAAGUUCUCCAUGGAAUGUAAUAGACACUCAAUAGUGCUGUAUUUUCCUGAGGAGAUAGAAAA